rnacentral:rRNA from 1 species
AAUAGAUACCCGGGUAGUCCACGCUGUAAACGGUGUCAACUAGCUGUUGGUCAUAUUGAAAUGAUUAGUGGCGUAGCAAACGCGAUAAGUUGACCGCCUGGGGAGUACGGUCGCAAGAUUAAAACUCAAAGGAAUUGACGGGGGCCCGCACAAGCGGUGGAGCAUGUGGUUUAAUUCGAUGCAACGCGAAGAACCUUACCUACCCUUGACAUACAGUGGAACUUGCAGAGAUGUGAGUGUGCCUUCGGGAACACUGAUACAGGUGCUGCAUGGCUGUCGUCAGCUCGUGUCGUGAGACGUUGGGUUAAGUCCCGUAACGAGCGCAACCCUUAUUAUUAGUUACCAGCACGUGAAGGUGGGGACUCUAAUGAGACUGCCGGUGACAAACCGGAGGAAGGCGGGGACGACGUCAAGUCAUCAUGGCCCUUACGGAUAGGGCUACACACGUGCUACAAUGGGUGAUACAGAGGGCAGCGAAGGGGCGACCUGGAGCGAAUCUUAUAAAGUCACUCGUAGUCCGGA